GGGGGGCAAGCGUUGUUCGGAAUUACUGGGCGUAAAGGGUUCGUAGGUGGCCUACUAAGUCAGACGUGAAAUCCCUCAGCUUAACUGGGGAACUGCGUCUGAUACUGGUAGGCUUGAGUGCAGGAGAGGAACGCGGAAUUCCAGGUGUAGCGGUGAAAUGCGUAGAUAUCUGGAGGAACACCGAUGGCGAAGGCAAUCCCCUGGGCCUGCACUGACGCUCAUGCACGAAAGCGUGGGGAGCAAACAGG
rnacentral:rRNA from 1 species